rnacentral:lncRNA from 1 species
GCGGAACCCUGGUUGGGGAGCCCGCGGGCUGCAGAGCAAGGCAGGGGGACGCCAAGGGCCUGGGAGGAAGAGAAAAGGUGUCUUAUAGACAAGAAAGUAACAUCAAAAACAAGACCCACUGAUGGACAAUGUCACAAAACCCACCGAAGUCAGCAGCAGAGAAAUAAGAAAACACCGUAUGGGAGAAGGUAUAUGAGGAAGGAAAGAAGAAGGCUAGCAGGUGAAGAAAAAGAAGGUCAGGUGAGGGCAGUGGAGAAGGAAAGACAUGCAGACGUGUGGAAGAGUGCUCAAAAUGCCUGCCACUUACAGAGAAGCUGAAGGUCUGAAAAUAGGAAUUAAAGCCCUCUCCUUAUCUAUAUUUUAAGACCUAGAUUUUAAGGUUGAGCUACUACUAUUAUUCCAUGUAGAAAUUUGUGUAAUUUUUAUUGAAAGGACAGAGGAAGGAAGACAGAGGGAAAGGAAAGGAUGUCUAAACCACACUGGUCUCAGAAGAGUGAAAGACGCGCAAUGUUCUAAUGAAGAAACCGGGGAAGAGCAACGUUUGGUGAGUCUGCCAAAGAGUACAAAAAAAAAAAAAAAAAAACAGUAGGGUAGUAAAACAGUUACCACG